UUGUCCAUCUCAUUUCUUUAUUAUUAUUAAAUUUAUUUAAAUUUGAUUUCUUAUUAAUUAUAAAGGAAGUCAGUCCUCAUCCGUCAAUGUCACACAAGUGAAACUUUUGACAAUGACAGUCUAGGAACUUUUUCUUCCUUCAUAGUACCCAUGUGUGCCAAUUUUCAAAAUUCCGAACAAAGAAAAAAGUUACCAGUUACCAUAGUGUCAGUUCAUUUAAUGCCAUAUUGCCUCAACGUCAGCAAGUAUUCUUGUGUGUCUCCUCUAGAAAUCCAGUUGCAACUAAUUGGAUUAAGAUGCAUAAGAAACGACGUGGGUUUUUAACAAGGGUCGUGAAGCGGGGCCAAAAGAUGAGACAUCAAAACGGCGCGUACUCCCAGCGACAAUCCGAAGAGAGUUCCAAAAUGUGGCUGAAUUCCUGUAAAGUGACGAACAAUCUCGUUCGUAAACAAAAUGAUUUCAAAAAGGAGGAACAUGUUCCCAACACCAAUGAUGGUAAGAAGGAGGAGAAAUGACUUGUUAUUAAAAUGAUUGUAUAAUAAAAUGUGAAUUCAUAA